rnacentral:rRNA from 1 species
UACAGAGGUCCCAAGCGUUGUUCGGAUUCACUGGGCGUAAAGGGUGCGUAGGUGGUCAGGUAAGUCUGAUGUGAAAGCUCUGGGCUUAACCCAGAAAUGGCAUUGGAUACUAUCUGGCUUGAGGAGUGGAGGGGGGACUGGAAUACUUGGUGUAGCAGUGAAAUGCGUAGAUAUCAAGUGGAACACCAGUGGCGAAGGCGAGUCCCUGGACACUUCCUGACACUGAGGCACGAAAGCUAGGGGAGCAAACAGG